rnacentral:rRNA from 1 species
GACGAACGCUGGCGGCGUGCCUAAUACAUGCAAGUCGAGCGGACAGAAGGGAGCUUGCUCCCGGAAGUUAGCGGCGGACGGGUGAGUAACACGUGGGCAACCUACCCUGUAGAUCGGGAUAACAUCGAGAAAUCGGUGCUAAUACCGGAUAAUCAUUUGAAGUGCAUGCUUCGAAUGUAAAAGAUGGCUCCGGCUAUCACUACGAGAUGGGCCCGCGGCGCAUUAGCUAGUUGGUAAGGUAAUGGCUUACCAAGGCAACGAUGCGUAGCCGACCUGGGAGGGUGAUCGGCAACACGGGGACUGAGACACGGCCCAGACGCCUACGGGAGGCAGCAGUAGGGAAUCUUCCGCAAUGGACGAAAGUCUGACGGAGCAACGCCGCGUGAGUGAUGAAGGUUUUCGGAUCGUAAAGCUCUGUUAUUAGGGAAGAACAAGUGCCGUUUGAAUAAGGCGGCACCUUGACGGUACCUAACCAGAAAGCCACGGCUAACUACGUGCCAGCCGCCGCCGUAAUAC